UACAGUGUAGUGUAAUGGGAACAUCAUAGACUCAUGAUCUGUAGAUUUAGGUUCGAAUCCUAACACUGUAC